ACUGUUGUACAGAAAAUCUAUACGGAUGAAUCGGCAGUUCUUAAAUUACAGCAACAGUAAUUAUCAUAGAAUUUCGUAUCAAAUUCUAUAUCUAUUCGUUUUAUAUAUGUAGGUAGAGAUCAGAUGAUACAGGGGCACCUUCUCUUGAAUACAGGACUCAAAUUCACGGCUGCGAAAAACGACUCGACCUCUUCUCUAGCCACGAUCUCGAAGAAGUCGAGCUCGCACAGCUUUCUCUUGCAAGAAACCACCGAUCGGCUUGGCUUCUUCGGAGCCGGAGGGCAGCUUAGGAUCGUCGGAAUUUUGUGUUCCGCCGAUGUCGGCGUGUGGCACUCGUCAUCGCCCACGUCGACGACGUUACCGGAAAUUGGUGUCUGACUUUCAGGGCUGAUGAUUCUGAUUGUGGGUAGUCGGAGUUGGGGCAAUUCUUGUCGGAAUUCUAGAUCUGUGGACAUUGUUACCGAGGUUUUUCUAGACAGAGAGAAUAUGGACCAGACAUGGAGAGGAUGAAUUGGAAUGAUUUGUGUGUGUACAUAUAGAGAGAGA